rnacentral:rRNA from 1 species
GACGAACGCUGGCGGCGUGCCUAAUACAUGCAAGUAGAACGCUGAAGGAGGAGCUUGCUCUUCUGGAUGAGUUGCGAACGGGCGAGUAACGCGUAGGUAACCUGCCUGGUAGCGGGGGAUAACUAUUGGAAACGAUAGCUAAUACCGCAUAAGAGUAGAUGUUGCAUGACAUUUACUUAAAAGGUGCAAUUGCAUCACUACCAGAUGGACCUGCGUUGUAUUAGCUAGUUGGUGGGGUAACGGCUUACCAAGGCGACGAUACAUAGCCGACCUGAGAGGGUGAUCGGCCACACUGGGACUGAGACACGGCCCAGACUCCUACGGGAGGCAGCAGUAGGGAAUCUUCGGCAAUGGACGGAAGUCUGACCGAGCAACGCCGCGUGAGUGAAGAAGGUUUUCGGAUCGUAAAGCUCUGUUGUAAGAGAAGAACGAGUGUGAGAGUGGAAAGUUCACACUGUGACGGUAUCUUACCAGAAAGGGACGGCUAACUACGUG